UAGGGGGACUUUGCCUCUGACGAUGCAACUGAGUGUCCUUGGGCCAUUGGAUUUUGACAAAGCUUUUAAGCAUCGUCUAGCCCAAGUCUUAUAGUUCGUCUUCCAAUGGCGCUUAUGAGCGUCAUCUUAGGUUAGUGUUUAGGAGGGGUUUAAGGGAGAAGUUAGUGUUAAGGAAAUUUAGUGAGUAGGAUUCCGACGACGCUUUUAAGCGUCGUCUGCUCCUUUCUCUCUUUGGCCUCCAACGAUGCUUAGAAGUAUCGUCAUACAAUUUGCUUUGGAUAACGCUAAUUAGCAUCGUCUUAGUUUCAUCCCUGCCGACGCUAGAUAGAAACGUCUGUAAUUUUGGCUCCAGAGAAAUAUUGGCCUCUUUUUCUGCAGUGAGAUAAA
rnacentral:lncRNA from 1 species